GAUGAAGAACGCAGCGAAAUGCGAUAAGUAGUGUGAAUUGCAGAAUUCAGUGAAUCAUCGAAUCUUUGAACGCACAUUGCGCCCCUUGGUAUUCCAUGGGGCAUGCCUGUUCGAGCGUCAUUUCAACCCUUAAGCCUAGCUUAGUGUUGGGAAUCUGCUGUAUUGCAGUUCCUCAAAUACAACGGCGGAUCUGUAACAUCCUCUGAGCGUAGUAAAUUUUUAUCUCGCUUUUGUUAGGUGUUGCAGCUCUCAGCCGCUAAACCCCCCAAUUUUUGUGGUUGACCUCGGAUCAGGUAGGAAUACCCGCUGAACUUAAGCAUAUCAAUAAGCGGAGGA
rnacentral:misc_RNA from 1 species